ensembl:lncRNA
UUACAUAACUUUAAGGAAGAGGAAGACUGUCACAGAGGAAGACUGUCACAGAGGAAGAGUAGCUUGGCACACGAGCCAGGUGAGUUGGGUUGGGUACGGUCCAGGUUAAGGUCGUGUGGGGUCAGGUCUGGUUAGGGUCGUGUGGGGUCAGGUCUAGUUAGGGUCGUGUGUGGUCAGGUCUGGUAAGGGUCGUGUGGGGUCAGGUCUGGUAAGGGAUUGUGUGGGGUCAGGUCUGGUUAGGGUCGUGUGGGGUCAGGUCGAGUUAGGGUCGUGUGGGGUCAGGUCUAGUUAGGGUCAGGUCUGGUAAGGGUCAUGUACGGUCUAGUCUGGUCUGGUCUGGUCUGGUGAGGGUCGUGUGGGGUCUGGUCUGGUCUGGUAGUAUCUGUAGUCUGCCCUGAGUGACGUGGAAAAAAUGCUUGACCCUGCAGCUGG